AGCAGAAUCAAGCAACGUGUUGUUUUGGAUUCGCUGCCGGCGGGGAGAGUAAUAAUGCCAGGGAGAGUUCUAUCCAUGGCACGUCCAAUACUCUGAGAAGUAGUAAAUUAAGUGAGCAGCGUAACAAAGCAUGUCCACGUUUUGAAUGUCGUCGCAAUAAUAAACUCAUUUUAACAUACAAAUUUUAACCUGUGACUGCUGCAGAGUGGCGGCGGCAGCAGAUUCCCUCUCCUGCUCUGCUGCUGCUGCAAUUGCCGAGAUACAAACGGAGAGGUUUGACACAGUUGAGAGGAGAGGCCAGUGUCUGGCGCGCGUACUCCAAGAAAUUUUGAAAAGCAGACCAAAUACUAUCCAAGAGUUUUUGUUCUUCAUUAUUUUGCUUUCCCAUAAUACUAAUAUGUGUGUGUGCGUGUGAGUGCGCACUCAGCGACCCACACAAGCACAAACCCAGACACACACAUACACGCACACUCGCACACACAGACCAGACACGUUGAGAGACGGGAAAGAGUCCAGUCACGCAACGCUCUGUUAUUGUAUACAAUUUCCUCAAUUGAAAAUCUUCUGAAAUUACAACAACUACAAGAAAAAUGCGCUCUGCAGUGAUAGUAGACCGGAAAGUGUAUUCAAAGGAAGUGCUGGAUCCGGACGAUUGCUAAGCAUGUGUUACAGUGAUCUACCGGAUGGAUACACAUCACUCACCUGUUGUUGUGGUUGGAAACUACUUGCUCGGAUUGCACCAGGCAACGGUCUGGUAACCAAUUGUAUUGCCAGUAGAUUCCUCAUAGGCAAACACGCAGUUCUUGUUGACAAUAACCGACAAUCGCACCUUGGCAAUCAGCUCCAGGGGACGUAUAACAAGCGUUGGUUGUAUGAUGACAAUGUGUGAGGCGUGAUAGAGCAACGGAUCGCCGGGAUAGACCAAGAAGUCGGCACCAAACGCAUCGCCACACGUGACAAACUUGCCACGCUUCCAAAGAUCAUGAAAAACCCGAUAUUUAAGCGAGCUGGUAUCGUAAACUGGAGUAGUGCAGAGCUGCGAGGCUGCAAUAACAAAAAAAUACCGUAGACGUAUUUUCUGGAAAUAAAAACGUUUUCGGUUUGCGAAAAAAACCUAAUAUGUUACUGUACACUGUGCGAGGAGACAAGAUCUUAACAAGCGAGAUUUUAAGAAG